UUUUAAGUGUGGGGUGGUGAUCUUGGGCAUAUUUAUAUGCUCAAAGCACCAAUAAGCACCCAGAUUUAGACUUAAUUUAAGAACUUUUGUAUGAAUUCUUAAAGUAUAAUUCAGCUUUUAUUCCGUUUCGUGCCUAAUGGUUAUGAUUAGUACUUUCAGGCUAAAAAUCAUGAAGAACUGUAUGCAUUUGGAUACAAUGAUAAUAUGGAAGGAUUGAAAAAAUACAAGAGAGUGUAAUAAAGCUCAAAAAGGAAAGUUGGAAAGUAGGAAUCCUCAUUUGAACUGACACCGCGUUGCAUUGACCAACAAAAUAGCAAUGGUUGAAUCUAAGAAAAAAUUACACUAUUUGACCUCACUGGAGAUUCACCAAAGAAAAAGAAGAAAAAGGGGGAGAAGAAAGGCAAAGAGAAGAGAGAAGAACUGUACAACAAGGAAGAAAAAAAGUGAAAAAGAAGGUGAAAAGGAAUGCCAAAAAAGAGGAAUUGAAGAAAGCAAGAAUGGAGUCCCUAGCGGACAAUGAGAAAUGGGAGACAACCAUCUGAGCUAGGGCUGUAGGUGCCUCAUCUAGUAGGACUCCAACCACUGUAAGGCCAGGUGCUCCCAAUGGAGAGAAAAUAGUAUAUGAUACAGCCGCAGGGUCAGACACCCAUAAUCCUCAUGCUUGAUUCACUCCAGUAAAAGAUAAGGUAAAGGGGAACCAAUAAUAAUGGAAGCAAAAAGGUUGAAUUCUGAAGCAAAUAAAGGACAAGUGUGGCUGAUGACAUUCAUGAUAAGUCGUGAUCCUAGUGAUAAUCUAUCAAGGCCACUGUCAGACUUAACAAGAGAAUGGGAGUUGAAGAGAAGUUGUGAUGAUAUUUUGUGACAAGGCGUCAGAGUUUUGAUAAGCCAUCAGGAUCAUCAUUAGCCUUAGGCUGAAAUUAUCAAAAGGGAAGAGGAGCUGAUGACAUCCGUAAUACGUAGUUAGAAUCCAGAUACA